rnacentral:rRNA from 1 species
CGACGUGAGGAACCUGCCUUCCAGAGGGGGACAACAGUUGGAAACGACUGCUAAUACCGCAUGACGCAUCGGAGUCGCAUGGCUCUGAUGUCAAAGAUUUAUCGCUGGAAGAUGGCCUCGCGUCUGAUUAGCUAGUUGGUGAGGUAACGGCCCACCAAGGCGACGAUCAGUAGCCGGACUGAGAGGUUGACCCGGCCACAUUGGGACUGAGAUACGGCCCAGACUCCUACGGAAGGCAGCAG